GUCUAUAUACGUAUAGCAUAUCAAUAAGCGGAGGAAAAGAAACUAACUAGGAUUCCCUCAGUAACGGCGAGUGAAGCGGGAAGAGCUCAAAUUUGAAAUCUUCAAGGUUCUACCUUGACGAAUUGUAGUUUAAAGAAGUGUUUUCUGUUGGAGUUUUGGUAAAAGUUCUUUGGAAUAGGACAAUCAUAGAGGGUGAGAAUCCCGUAUUUGACCAUUAUUUCCAGCUUUGUGAUACACUUUCAAAGAGUCGGAUUGUUUGGGAAUGCAGUCCAAAAUGGGUGGUAAAUUUCAUCUAAAGCUAAAUAUUGGCGAGAGACCGAUAGCGAACAAGUACCGUGAGGGAAAGAUGAAAAGAACUUUGAAAAGAGAGUUAAACAGUACGUGAAAUUGUCAAAAGGGAAGCGUUUGACACCAGUGUUGUUUUUCCGAAAAUCAAUUAUAGAAUGUUUUAUUUUCUGAGGAGUUAUGACUUCAUCGGCUUGCCUUCUCUCUUUACUGAAACUUUUGUAAUGCACUUUUCGGUUAACAAGUCCAACAUCAAUUUCUUUUGUUGUAAAAGGGUAUGAGGAAGGUGGCUUUCUUUUCGGAGAAAGUGUUUAUAGCCUUGUGCCUCUGCAAUCGGAGAGAUUGAGGUCUGCAGCGUAGAUCCUUCGGGGUUAGAUACAUUUGUGCUAAGUUAUAGCCUUUCAUAGACAACUUGUUGACUAUGAUCAGUCAUGUAGCUUACUCGCUUAUGCUAUUUUACCUACGCUUAGGAUGUUGACUGAUAUGUAGUCGUA
rnacentral:rRNA from 1 species